GACAGAGGCCACAAGCGUUAGGCGGAAUCACUGGGCUUAAAGCGUGUGUAGGCGGAUCGUUAAGUGCCUUGUGAAAUCCCACCGCUCACCGGUGGAACUGCUGGGCAUACUGGCGAUCUUGAGCCAUCUAGGGGCGACUGGAACAGACGGUGGAGCGGUGAAAUGCGUAGAUAUCGUCUGGAACGCCAAGGGUGAAAACAGGUCGCUGGGGAUGUGCUGACGCUGAGACACGAAAGCCAGGGGAGCAAACGGG
rnacentral:rRNA from 1 species